AACGAACGCUGGCGGCAUGCCUAACACAUGCAAGUCGAACGAGACCUUCGGGUCUAGUGGCGAACGGGUGCGUAACGCGUGGGAACCUGCCCUUAGGUUCGGAAUAACUCCCCGAAAGGGGUGCUAAUACCGGAGAAUGUCUUCGGACCAAAGAUUUAUCGCCUUUGGAUGGGCCCGCGUUGGAUUAGCUAGUUGGUAGGGUAAAAGCCUACCAAGGCGACGAUCCAUAGCUGGUCUGAGAGGAUGAUCAGCCAAACUGGGACUGGGACACGGCCCAGACUCCUACGGGAGGCAGCAGUGGGGAAUAUUGGACAAUGGGCGAAAGCCUGAUCCAGCAAUGCCGCGUGAGUGAUGAAGGCCUUAGGGUUGUAAAGCUCUUUUACCCGGGAUGAUAAUGACAGUACCGGGAGAAUAAGCUCCGGCUAACUCCGUG
rnacentral:rRNA from 1 species